CUGAACCAGCCAAGUAGCGUGAAGGAUGACUGCCCUAUGGGUUGUAAACUUCUUUUAUAAAGGAAUAAAGUCGGGUAUGCAUACCCGUUUGCAUGUACUUUAUGAAUAAGGAUCGGCUAACUCCGUGCCAGCAGCCGCGGUCAUACGGAGGAUCCGAGCGUUAUCCGGAUUUAUUGGGUUUAAAGGGAGCGUAGAUGGAUGUUUAAGUCAGUUGUGAAAGUUUGCGG
rnacentral:rRNA from 1 species